AACGAACGCUGGCGGCAUGCCUAACACAUGCAAGUCGAACGAGACCUUCGGGUCUAGUGGCGCACGGGUGCGUAACACGUGGGAACCUGCCCUUAGGUUCGGAAUAACUCACCGAAAGGGGUGCUAAUACCGGAUAAUGUCUUCGGACCAAAGAUUUAUCGCCUUUGGAUGGGCCCGCGUUGGAUUAGCUAGUUGGUAGGGUAAAAGCCUACCAAGGCGACGAUCCAUAGCUGGUCUGAGAGGAUGAUCAGCCACACUGGGACUGAGACACGGCCCAGACUCCUACGGGAGGCAGCAGUGGGGAAUAUUGGACAAUGGGCGAAAGCCUGAUGCAGCAAUGCCGCGUGAGUGAUGAAGGCCUUAGGGUUGUAAAGCUCUUUUACCCGGGAUGAUAAUGACAGUACCGGGAGAAUAAGCCCCGGCUAACUCCGUG
rnacentral:rRNA from 1 species